AAACCAUUGUUCCCAAAUAACACAGCUUGUGACAGAAGAGAAGAGUGAACAUGAGUCACAAUUCCACCAUCAUUUUAAGUGGGCAAUGUCCACUAUCAGUGCCACAACCAGACUUGCACCUGCCCUUCCCUUGACCAUGGCUGCUUGGUUUGGUAGACUUCAACUCUUCACUUCCUCAUAGAAUCAUAAAACUGUGGAAUCAUCACAGAAUCAGUAAGUGGUUUGGGUUAGGGAGGGAAUCAUAGAACUAUGGGCCCAUUCAGCUCCAGUCCCCUGCCAUGAGCCAGCUGCCACACACCAGAUCAGCCUGCCCAGGGCCCCAUUCAGCACUGGGCAACUCCAGGGCUUGGGCACCCACAGUUUCACCAUCCCCUGAGCAAAGAAUUUCUUUGUAAUAUCCAAACUAAAUUUCCCCCUCUUUUAGUUUAAAGCCAUUCCCCCUUAUCUAAUCAUUUUUAGACCUUGAACCUGUGCAAAUGAAGUGCCAGUAUGAAAAAAACCAUGAAAUUCAGUAGAGAAUUGCCCACAUGACUACACAGGCUCCUGAGAAGCUUGAAAAUGGAGCACCUAGUACCAUAAUGAACACACUGUACAGUGGCUGUGAUGUCUGUACAUGAAAGUGUUGUGUUAAAGCCUCACAACACCAUCAGAAUGCCUUCUUGUGAAGAUAUUGUCCUUAUAAAUCAUUGGAAGGGAAUUUGCAAUCCAGAAUACAACACACUUCAGAAGAAAGAAACACAAGAAAUCAAAAAGCCCAACAACCUAUGUCACCAGAAAAUACACUAAUUUACACUAAUGCCUUUGCAUUAGGUUGAAAUCAAUGAUUCCGGAAGCAAAGAGCUGCUCAUAAGUCCACUGCCUUGAGUAGUUUUUUCAGCAGGGUAGAAAUAAUUGGUAAACAUGUACCAUUGAGACAGUGUGAAAGAAGAACUGCAAACACCCCAAGCAUUUCCCAUAGUGUCCCAUGGAUUCCUACUGAGGAGGUGGCUAAGAAACAGUUUUCACCAAGGGAAGAGAAUCCACUGAAACCCACAGAGAUCCAGCACUUGUUGAGCACAUCAACAUGGACUGCCUGUAGAAGAUGAUUUCUUCUUUCAUGCCUACCUACCUCUCUUUUAGUACUCUGAAACUGCAGUAAUACAAAUGUCUCCAUCUCCUUUCAUUCCCAUCAUUCUUCCAAUCCCUCUCCAGCUGCUCAUGUCAGUGACAGGGUAAUUUUUCCCCCUAAACCACAAAUAAACAAAUAGUACCAAGGCA
rnacentral:lncRNA from 1 species